UGUUCAUCUUCAUGAGUACACAAUGGCUUUUAACAUAUACUCACUAGCUCUAUAAAACAAGGAGAUGUGUAAUGAAUCCCAACAUAUAGCUCUAUAAAACAAGGAGAUGUGUAAUGAAUCCCAACAUAUAGCUCUAAUAUGAGGCAGGCAUAACCUGUGAAUGGGGACGAAGUCUGUAUGUAUUAUUUUUUUAAUUCAAUCACGUUGAUAAAAGAAACCGAAAUACUGUACGUAGCGUUCCCGAUUUUGAUUCUGUUGUUAGGGAAUUAGCUGUGACGUUCUUUAAGGUAACGUUUUUUCAUAUCAAACAAUUAUUAAAAUUGAAUUUGUAUUGAGAUCCAAUCUUAUAUUUUACUAGACUGAUAAAU
rnacentral:lncRNA from 1 species